UACGAAGGGGGCGAGCGUUGUUCGGAAUUACUGGGCGUAAAGCGUGCGUAGACGGUAGCGUAAGUCAGAUGUGAAAGCCCCGGGCUCAACCUGGGAAUUGCAUUUGAGACUGCUCUGCUCGGGUGCGGAAGAGGGAAGCGGGAAUUUCCGGUUGUAGCGGUGAAAUGCGUAGAUAUCGGAAGGAACACCAGUGGCGAAAGCGGCUUCCUGGUCCGACACCGACGUUCAGGCAGCGAAA
rnacentral:rRNA from 1 species